rnacentral:rRNA from 1 species
GGCUAGAUACGAGCCAGCAUGCUCGGUAGGAUGUAGGGGGCAGUGUGGAAUCGUACGUACGGGGAGAAAGUGGUGCGCAGGGUGUUGGGCAAGUCGAGUGGUGAAUCCCCUGGCUGAACUUGGGAAUUGCGCUCUGAACUACUAGGCUCGAGUGGGGCAGAGGAAGGUGGAAUUCCACGUGUAGCGGGUAAAUGCGUAGAGAUGUGGAGGAACACCGAUGGCGAAGGCAGCCUUCGGGGCCAACACUGACGCUCAUGCACGAAAGCGUGGGGAGCAAACAGGAUUAGAUACCCGUGAGUC